UGGGUUUAUGAAAUAUAUACUUAUUCUUUGAUUUAUUGGGAUUAUAUGGUGUUAAUCACUUAAAUUAAGAAAUUGGGGUUGAUUUCUCCAUUUUUAAGCAAGUAUUAUAUGCAAUUUUUGGACAAAAUCCUAUUCAUGCGCUGUUUUUGAAAAUCUGCCAGAAUAGCGCUAUUUCUGUCAAACGUUUUGAUACCAGAUUUUAAUAUUAUGGGAUUUUAGUGCUGUUUUUGUCAAAGUUCUUAUUUUCAGAUUUUUAAAGGUUUGAAUGAAGUUAUAUGACAAAUAUUGAAGUUUAUGUAUUUGACUAAAUUCGGUAUAGGGGAUGCAUACGAAUAAGGUAGUGAUGUUAAGGAAGUGCAAGUAAUUUAAUGAAUUUGAUAAUGAAUGGUAAUUAAUUGAUAAAUCGUUAGAGAGAAGAAAAUUUGGAGAAUUCAUUCAAAUAUCGAGAAAUGGAGAUUCAAGAGAAAAUUUGAAAGUUGAGAAAUUAGGUGGUGACUUUGCAUUAGUUUAAUUGUCAUAUUUUAAUUUGAGUUAUUAUACUGUUAUUUCAGGUAAUGACGUAGAAGUUUGGAGAUGCUGGUUAAUUUAGCCAGAUUUUUAUCCAUAGAGCAAUGAGUGGAUAUAAACUUAUUUUUCAGAAAUUAAUAUUUAUUAAAUUUACGUUAGAUUAGAAAAUUUUCUUUUUCAUACAAUUGAUUUGACAGCAUGAUAUUUAAAAUAAAGUGGAUUUAUAAUAAGUUGUUUUUAAAGUUAAAUUCAGUCCAAUUAAAUCAUUUCAAUAGCAUGUUCCCUUCGUAUUACAUGUUUUAUAUAGCUAAAGUUUUUCUAAAUAUCACCAGAAAGUACCCGGUGAUUUUACCUCAAUCUGCACUAGCGUAAAUUUAUUUCCACAGUGACUAAUUAUGGUGAUUUUACCCGCUCUAUACUAUUGUGAAUAUGUUUCCAUAGUGUAUGACCAGAUUAUCAAAUUAUCAGAUGUCUUUGGGACCACUCUCGUACACACAUAGGCUUUCAGCCGUGUACUAGGGCGAUUAGCGUUUGGGGCAGCUCUGCGUACAUAUGACCAGAUUAUCAGAUUACCAGAUUAUCAGAAUAUCAGAUUUAAAUGGCUCUGCCUUGUACAUCGAGAUUACUCUGUACAUAAACAAAAAGCAGAUGAAUUGAGCAGCUUUGGAGCCUGUCAAACCACCAAAUUGAGCCACUCGCCAUAGGUUGUAUGGCAUCCUUUAUCAGAUUAUACAUUAUGUGUUCUUUUGGGAUAUAUAUAGUUUAAAUCAGAAAAGUUCAUUAUGGGCUCAUUUGAUAUUUGGUAUCUUUAGUAUAUUUGAGGAUUGUUAUUUGUAAAGCAAUUAGAUUUUCCAGCAUUUUAUUUGAAUAAUUUGUAUUUUCUGGGACUGGCAUACCCUGAUUUAUAUUAUAGGUAUAGAUUUGAGGAAAAUUGAUUAUUGUUCAGGCAAUUUUAGUUUGUAUUUCAGGGAAAAUUUUAUCAAAAUUUUGUUAAAAAUAUUUUUCAGUUAAAUAAGUGAAGGUUGCCUUAGUGGUGGGUCCGACGUUCAGCUAGUAUCUACCAUCAGCGCGCGACACAUGUCGAGUCCACUAAGGAGAUUCGGGACGGGUAGUGUCAAUCUUCCUGCCAUAGUAGAUCUGGAAACUCUUUCAAGGCCUUGUUCUCCACAUUUUGAUAGUCCUUUGUAUUCCUUUACCACCUUUAAUCGUUCUAUGUUUUUUUUGUUUUCCUUCCAAAUUGUCCUUCACAAUUAACUUGUUUGUCUGAAACCAUAACUUUUUGUUGGUCACCCAGAAACUACGAUAAACUGUUAGCAUUUAAUGCUUACUGAAUUGGAGUUUUAUAAAUCUGCACUCUGAUUCUUGAUAA